CCUGGUUGAUCCUGCCAGUAGCAUAUGCUUGUCUCAAAGAUUAAGCCAUGCACAUGUAAGUAGACACGGCCUGUACAGUGAAACUGCGAAUGGCUCAUUAAAUCAGUUAUGGUUCCUUUGAUCGCUCCAUCUGUUACUUGGAUAACUGUGGUAAUUCUAGAGCUAAUAUAUGCCGAUGAUCAUUGACCUCCUGGGAUGCAUGCAUUUAUCAGACCAAGACCAAACCGGGCUCGCCCGGCCGCUUUGGUGACUCUAGAUAACCUCAGGCUGAUCGCACAUCCCAGUGACAGCGACGAUGCAUUCGGAUGUCUGCCCUAUCAACUUUCGAUGGUAUUUUCUGUACCUACCAUGGUGACCACGGGUAAUGGGGAAUCAGGGUUUGAUUCUGGAGAGGGAGCCUGAGAAAUGGCUACCACAUCCAAGUAAGGCAGCAGGUACGCAAAUUACCCACUCCCGACUCGUGGAGGUAGUGACGAAAAAUAACAAUACAGGACUCUUUCGAGGACCUGUAAUUGGAGUGAGUACACUUUAAAUCCUUUAACACUUUAACGAGGAACCAUUGGAAGGCAAGUCUGGUGCCAGCAGCCGCGGAAAUUCCAGCUCCAUUUGCGUAUAUUAAUGUUGCUGCAGUUAAAAAGCUUGUAGUUGGAUCUUGGGAUCAAGCUGGCGGUCCGCCGCGAGGCGCACUAACGCUGUCCCAGCCCCUGUCUCUCGGCGCCCCUUGAUGUUCUUGAGCGAGGGUCCGAAGCGUUUACUUUGAAAAAAGCAUUCAAAGCAGGCCGGUCGCUCUGAAUACUUCAGGUAGGAAUAAUGGAAUAGGACUCUGGUUCUAAUUUGUUGGUUUUCGGAACUGGGGCCAUGAUUAAGAAGGAUGGCUGGGGCAUUCGUAUUGUGCCGCUAGAGGUGAAAUUCUUGGACCGGCGCAAGACGAACCAAAGCGAAAGCAUUAGCAAGAAUGUUUUCAUUAAUCAAGAACGAAUGUCGGAGGUUCCAAGACGAUCAGAUUGUAGUUCCGACCAUAAACAAUGCCGACGGGAUUGGCCACCAGGGGGCGCAGAGACAUCCAUGAACUCUGCGUGAGCUCCGCUGCAGCUGCCCCAAAAGAUGGACUGAGCCCCCACUUUUUGGACCCCCCCACCGGAGAAAAAGCGUGAGGCUGCAGUGGGAAUACCUCCCGCAGCACUGGGAAAAAUUCCGAGCGAAAACGGACCUGGGACCCCGACAAAAUCCGAGUCCCAAGCCGCGGCCGUCUGAACCAGAGAGAAAGCGAAACCAACCCGGCACACGUGUGCUGCAGGGCAUUGCCGAGAAAGCCCACACUACGAAUCCGCAAACGGAGCCUACGUGACCGCCGAUGACCACGGCCCUGAGCGGAUACCUGAUAUAAACAGGUGGGUGCCCCAGCCUUGGACCCACCCGAACCCCUGCUCAAGAGACCUCCCUGCCUAGCACCCGCGAAGGACCCACAACGCGAGGCGAGAUCCGUUCACUGCCCGCUCCCCUACCAGCAGCCGAACACAACAGUGCAAGGCCACUCGACAUCUCACACCCCCUGCCCCCGGAACGCAUCGGAUAGCGACCGCGGACCCACUCCUCGCGAGUGGUCUGGGACUCGACGCCUCACCUUGGCCCCCCCCACAGCCCCCCGCGACUCUCCGGUGCAAACAUGCCCGGAUCCUGACGCUCCAGAGGGAUCCCGGGCCUCCAGAAAAGAUUUGGGGACAUAACAGAGCUGAAA
rnacentral:rRNA from 1 species